ensembl:lncRNA
CCAUGUGCUCGUACAUUAUUUUUCACUCUGGAAAGAAGAAAGCAUUAGCACUAACUCAUCCGCAAUAAGCUGAUGUAUUUUUGUAUUUAUUAAAAUAGUGUGUUCUCACAAAAAUAGUAAAAAAAUAAAUAAAAAUCUUUCAAAUUCUUUCAAAAGCAUUGUAAUUCAGAAGUUCAGAACUCUAUAGCUACUAUAUAAAACUGGAUAUAAAUAAAAUCCCAAAAUACUGCACAAAGUAUCUAAACCCAGGAAAUUACAGACUUAGGCUAUAUUUGUAAUAUUGCUUAUUUUGCAAAAGUAGGCAACGUGAAGCAACCUAUACUUUCUACAGUUAAUGUAAAGUAUAAUGUACAGUUAGCCAGUCAUCAGAGCUAUUAAGUUAAAAAAUCUAUAUUGUUGCUGUAUAUGUACACGAAUUAAGUAAAGAAUUAAGUUUUAAAAUCGUAUUUUGAUUUCCUAAAUCGAAAUCGAAUUAUGAGGUGGCAAAAUUCUAACGAGAAUAAUUACUUAAUAAUAAAUUGUAUCAAAUGACACUAACCCCUGGUGAUACAUUUCAAUAAUGCUGUAAGACAAAUUCGAUGAAGGGCUACAUAUGGGUAAUUAACCAUAAUAAGUGAUGGGACUGCAUAACAAACAUAUGUUGAGAAUAAACGUUUCUACAGAAGGGAAAUUAAGAGUCUGGCUGAGAAGUAAUUGCUGAUAAUACU